rnacentral:rRNA from 1 species
UAGGGAAUCUUCCGCAAUGGGCGAAAGCCUGACGGAGCAACGCCGCGUGAGUGAUGAAGGUCUUCGGAUCGUAAAACUCUGUUAUUAGGGAAGAACAAAUGUGUAAGUAACUAUGCACGUCUUGACGGUACCUAAUCAGAAAGCCACGGCUAACUACGUGCCAGCAGCCGCGGUAAUACGUAGGUGGCAAGCGUUAUCCGGAAUUAUUGGGAGUAAAGCGCGCGUAGGCGGUUUUUUAAGUCUGAUGUGAAAGCCCACGGCCCAACCGUGGAGUGUCAUUGGAAUCUGGAAUACUUGAGUUCAGAAGAGGACAGUGGAAUUCCAUGUGUAGCGCUAAAAUGCGCAGUUUUUUGGUGGAACACCAUUGGCGUAUGCGACUUUCUGGUCUGUUACUGACGCUGCUGUUCGAAAGCGUGGGUAUCAAACAUG